CUGGAAAUAGGUGAUCUGUCUCAGUGCGGCUGCUGGCUUCCUGGAGCUCUUGCCUCUCUGGAAGGCUGAGGUCAUGUCAGCCUCAUGACAAUGAGGCUGAGCAUCUGGGCAGGAGGACAGGGGUCUUAUCCUGGCCAGAAGCCAGCAGGGAACACUGAUGGGAUAGCCCCGGUUUUAUCUGUGUCUCUCCCCAGGGAGCCAUCCUCACCACCAUGCUGGCCACACGGAAUUUCUCAGUGGGCAGACAGACCACCGCUCCGGCCACAAUGUCCACCGCGGCCUCCGGCACCACCAUGGGGCUGGUGGAACAAGGUAGAUGUGUCUCGACCAGUGUCCCGCCCGC
rnacentral:lncRNA from 1 species